rnacentral:tRNA from 1 species
GUGAGUGUAGUUCAGUGGUUAGAGCGCCAGAUUGUGGAUCUGGAUGUCGUGGGUUCAAAUCCCACCACUCACC